GACUGGGGCAGCCCAGAACACUGGGGAGACUAGAUCGAUGGGGCUGCACAGAGGUGGCACAGUUGUGCCAGAGGUAGCAGGGACAGAAGGGCUGGCAAGGGAGGGUCCAGGGCUAGGGGAUUCGGAGUGGCUUCAGGCGGACCACGUGGCUACCUUUUUUCCAGGGCCAGACUUUGGCAGCGUGUAAGGUCUGAGGACAGGGGCACCGGAGGCCGAGGAUGAGAGGCCAGUGCCUGUUUCCAGGCAGCCAGGGCCUCAGAAACUCCGGCCGGAGCACUCACCCGUCGGUGGAGGCCGUUACCAGGGCCACCUUAUUCGCGAGCGGGUCCCGGCGGGUCAUCCCGGAGCUGGCCAUCCGCACCGAAUUCCAAGCCCGGGCACAGAGGCCUAGCAGCCCCGUCUUGUGCAUGGCUCAGACCAGCAAGUGCCACUUCGGAUAAACCCUUUGGACUCCUAACUCCAAUCAGGUGUCUGCUUUGUUGAGGACUCACAGACACAGUCUCCUUUCUUCAAGAUCUUUACAAUGCAAGACCUCACUAACACACAGGGGAUGGUCUCCCAGAGGGUCUGUGCUGUUCCUUCACUCAGAACAUCAAGAUGCACUUAAGUAAGGAUCCUCUGUUCUACGGUUCCUGCUAGCUGAGCUAUUCCAUGGGGGCUUCAGCAGGAAAUUCCAAGGUUGGCUUUGACAAGCUAAGGCCGGCUGGUGGAGCACAUCGAGUUCUGGAGGUUCAUGUGUGUUUUCAUGAAGAUCUGUCUGCCAGUAGCAGAUAAAGAGUUGUUGCCCCACUCCUCCUGGGGUCUUCUAUUUUCCUGGGAGGAAUUUCUGGAUUAACUGAACGCACACACACACACACACACACCCCUUUGAAGCAUCAACAGUAAUUCUGAGUUCUUAGGGACAAUGCAGAUUAAAUCCACAAUAAGAAAGACAACUAUGGCCAGGUGCGGUGGCUCACGCCUGUAAUCCCAGAACUUUGGGAGGCUGAGGCGGAUGGAUCACCUGAGGUCAGGAGUUAGAGACCAACCUGACCAACAUGGAGAAACCCCGUUUCUACUAAAAAUACAAAAUUAGCCGGGCAUGGUGGCAGGCGCCUGUAAUCCCAACUACUCAGGAGGCUGAGGCAGGAGAAUCGCUUAAACCCGGGAGGCAGAGGUUGCAGUGAGCCAAGAUCGCGCCAUUGCACUCCAGCCUGGGCAAGAAGAGCAAAACUCCAUCUCAAAAAAAAAAAAAAAAAAAGAGUACUAUUGAUCCAGAGGUGACCAGACUAGCCUCACUGGAGAUAAUAGGUGACAUUAUUAUGCAAAGUGGUUUCAGUUCCCUUGUCUUGUUUUUGGAAUAGUAUAAGAGGCCUACAAUACGAAUAAAUAAGGCCCAUCACAAGCCUCACCAAAGGACAAAACUAAUCCACUUCUGAAGAAGGCUCUUUGUUGGGCCAGAUCAAAUCCUUGGACAGAACUGUACUCUUAAUCUCUGUAGUGAAAGUGGGGGAUAGUUUAAGAAUUUAUUAACCUUCUACCUUGAGCAAUCCCUCAGAAGUAAGAGGUGUCAGGCCUCUGAGCCGAAGCUCAGCCAUUGUAAUCCCUGUGACCUGCACAUAUAUGUCCAGAUGGCCUGCAGAAGCCAAGAAGUCUGGGGCAGCUGAAAAACCACACAAGAAGUAAAACAGCCAGUUCCUGCCUUAACUGAUUAACCAACAUUACAACAUUCCACCAUUGUGACCUGUCCCUGUCCUACCUUAACUGAUCAAUCGACCUUGUGACAGUCUUCUUCUGGACAAUGGGUUUUAUCAUCUCCCCACCAUGUACCUUGUGACCCCCUCCUCUGCUAACAAUAGAUAACCACCUUUUACUGUAAUUUUCCAUUACCUACCCAACUCCUAUAAAGCAACCCCUUCCCCAUCUCCCUUCACUGACUCUGUUUUCAGACUCAGCCCACUUGCACUCAAGUGAAUAAACAGCCUUGUUGCUCACACAAAGCCUGUUGGUGGUCUCUUCACACAGACGUGCUUGACAAAAGGGAAGGGUGGAUUUGUCCUUCUGGUUACAUAUGUUCUGCUCACUCAUUUUGAAUUUAAUUAAACAAGGAUUGCCCUUACCUUUUCAUACUUUGUAAGAAACCAUAAAUACUUAGGCACCAUGAUUUUUUUUAAAGAAACACUUUUUAUUUUGAAGUAAUUAUAGUCUCAUAGGAAGUUGCAAAAGUAGUACAUAGAGUCCCUGAGUACUCUUCCCCCAAUGGUGACAACUGUAGUAUAAUAUCAAUUCUGGGAAAUUGACAUUGGUACAAUACCAAAUAGACUAUAGACGUUUUUCUCUAAGGCAUGAUGUUGCAAUAGCAUCCUUGUACAUGUAGCUAGGAGAACUUGUACUAAGCCCAGAUAAAUAGUUGAAGUACAAGGGCAGAGGAGUGUGUCUUUGAUAUUUUAAUAGAAAUCACCUGUUGCCCUCUAGAAAAGCUGUGCCCUUUUCCAGUGGCAGAGAACCUUCCUGAAAGGCAGUCCUGUGUGAUGGUGUCCAUUUCAUCACACCCUUAAAACACUCAGCUUUAACAAACAUACAGAUUUUUGCUGAUGUGGGAGAAAACAUUAAUUGUUAAUGAUAUUAAGGUGAUUAUCUUUUCGUAUGUUUAUAGAUAUUUGUAUUUCUUUUUAAAUGAACUGCUCAUGACCUUUGUCUACUUUUAUUUGGUUGUUUACUUCUUUCUCAUUUAUUCCUAUAAACUCUUUAUAAAAGGAAAUUAACCAUUUGAUUGUCAUAUGUUGUGAAUAUUUUUACCAUUUUGACUUUUGAAUUUAUGUCUUUUUAAUGAAUUGUAGAAGUUUAAAAUCUUUAUGGAAUAAAUUUAUUUAGUUUUUUGUUUAUGG
rnacentral:antisense_RNA from 1 species